UUUCUACUCUCUUCUUCUUCUUCUUCUUCUUCUCUUUUGAUGCCAUCUGCUUCUGAGAAUGGGGUAGAAGAAGGAGGAGGAGUAAAGAAGAAGAAAGGAAAGUGUGUUUAUU
rnacentral:ribozyme from 13 species